GCAGGUUCAGCUCAUUUGACAGCAGGCUUUAUGUUCGUGCGGCUCGGGUGAUAUGAAAUAAACUGAGCAGGAAACAAAUGGAGUCCAGAGGUGAUCCAGGAGCUCGAACUGAAUAGCUUUUCACUAGAAGACUACACAUACUCUUGGACUACACAUCUUGUGAUAAACCGGUUUCGUUGGGACUCUUAUCGUGCCGAUUAUGAGGCUUCCUGAGGCCGAGGAAGCCCAUCGCAAGCCUUCAAUGGGAAUGGGAGCGACGGGCCUCCACUGAAUGUGUCACACAGGUGUGAGCUGAGGUCCACUGAGCGCCACGCUCCUCUGGAAUGGAUCUGAACGGCACGACUCCGCACAUCUCACCCCCGGUACCAAAACCUGAAUUUCCUGGUUACUAUGCACUCGUACCUUUAGUGCUCCUCAUACUGGUGGGAGGUGCGGUGGCAGUGGUUUUUUACAUCAGAAGGAGAGCAAGGCUGGAGGAGCUGCGGCACCGGCUGAUUCCUCUCUACACUUAUGACCCCGCCGAGGACGAGGACGACUGGGGUGAUGCUGACAUACAGGAUGACGAGGAGGAGCUGGUUGAACCUCUGUACAAGGAAGCAAAACUCCACUUCACUUCGGGUUGAGGGACAGGAGAGUUGGUAAAGGAGGGAGUAUGCAAUUUGGAAAAGAUGUGCCUGCUCCCACAAACCUCACUGGAAAAAAAACAAAAAAAAAAACUGACUGCAUCCCUGGAGAUGUUUUCAGGCUACAGCUGCAUUGAGGACAAAUGUGUGUGUGCCAUGCUGUGUGUGACACCAGGUGGCACUAUGACUGUGUGUUUUGCCAUAAUGAAGCCUUAUCAGACUUGAUCUGAUUGAAUAAGGGAGGAAAAGUUGACAUGUUAUGAUUGGGAAAUAAAAUCCAAUUCAAUUUUUUGGUUUGUUUGUGAAUGUGUGAAUGUGUGUGUGUGUUGGCCCAAUUAUGUAUAAAAUGGCUUUGUGGACGCACCUGUUUCUCCUUGGAGAUCAGUGGGGUGUCUGCAGUCUGGACGCUCCUCCACAUGCUUGGUGGGGCUUCAGGAACAGUAAGAUGGGAUCACAAAGAAAGAGCAGGAUGGACACGCACACACGCUGCUCCCUGACCUCCAUCCUGCUUGUCACGGCUCUGGUGCUGCCUGCGUUCGCUCCGGAUACACUCCUGUGCUACUACUGUCCACUGCACCAGAAAGGGAAGCGGUGUGAGCCGAUCACCAGCCAGUGCCUGCCGGACCAGCGCUGCUCCAGCUCCAGAGGCCUCUACGGCUCCGUCCACAUCCUCUCCGCUCAGGGCUGUGUGGACAGGAACUCCUGCGGCUCCCAUGAGGUCGUCGCUCAUAAGGGAGCCAAGUAUAACGUCACUCACGUCUGCUGCUGCAAGGACAAAUGUAACUCUCCCCCGAAAUCAGACAGCAACCUGAAGACGCUGCUGGGGAUCUCUGGGAAGACAAAGGAGGGCCUCAAUGAUUACCAGGAGGAGACAUGUGUAACUGACACAGCGUCAAAGAAAGCUGCUUCUAAAUCCUAAAGUGUGACAGAGUCCUAAAGUGUGUCAUGAUUUUUAUUCUGGAGAGAGAAGGUGGGCUGGUUAACCAUCUUCCUGACAUACUGGAGUUAAAUGUUGAUGCUAUCUUUGCCAAAUAAAAUGAGAUAGAUUCAGACUUCCUCGGGUCUUGUUGUGCAUUAGAGCAGGUGUGCUGAAGGGUGUGGUCUGUUCUUAACAGGACUCACUGGAGCCUGUGCUGCGAUGAUGUUUUAAUCUGGAGAAGCUCCAAAAAGCUUGGACUGGAUUUCACAUCUUCAACAUGACUUGGUCUGGCAUCUUGUGUCUUUACUUCCUCCUUCCUUCGCUGCUCUGUGAGAACCUGCUCUGCUACUACAGCCCCAUCCACAUCAUCGGAGAGGGAGAUCCUCCGCAGGCCACUGCUACGGAGUGUUUUCCAAAUGAAAGGUGCUGCCAGGCUGAGGGCUACUACGGCGAACACCGGGCCCUGCUGAAGAGAGGCUGCAUGGCAGAGGAGGACAGAGAGGACACCAUGAGCUUCAUGGGGACACAAUACACCAUGAAUUACACUUGCUGUGACUGGGAAUUCUGUAACUCCUGCUCGGGCAUCGCGGCCAGACUCCACGUCAUCGGAGCGCUGGUGGCCGCGGUUGUGACGUUUGGUAACUUGUGACAAAAGAACGGUAUGUUUAAUGGCACCACGAGGAAUUCAGUGGCCUGACUGCAGCCUCAACCCGGCGUAGGGCUGAAGGUCUGCAGAAAUCCACACUGAACACCAAGUCUGAAGACACUGAGGUGUGAAAGGCUUUUAUCAACAACACACC